rnacentral:rRNA from 1 species
UCUAGCAUCUCCAGUAUUAGAGGCACUGCUGCCCAGUGACACAUGUUCAACGGCCGCGGUACCCUGACCGUGCAAAGGUAGCAUAAUCACUUGUUCUCUAAAUAAGGACUUGUAUGAACGGCCACACGAGGGUUUAACUGUCUCUUACUUUUAAUCAGUGAAAUUGACCUAUCCGUGAAGAGGCGGGUAUGCCUAAAUAAGACGAGAAGACCCUAUGGAGCUUCAAUUUAACGGUACAAACCUCAGCCCUUCAAACCAACAGGCAGCAACUCAUCAUAAAUGUACCAUAAAUUUCGGUUGGGGUGACCUCGGAGUAUAAUAUAGCCCCCGAAAGACAUAUACCAAGACCUCACUAGUCUAAGUAAAAAUUAAACCUAUUGACCCAAUAACUUGAUCAACGGACUAAGUUACCCUAGGGAUAACAGCGCAAUCCUAUUCUAGAGUCCAUAUCGACAAUAGGGUUUACGACCUCGAUGUUGGAUCAAGACAUCCUAAUGGUGCAGACGCUAUUAAGGGUUCGUUUGUUC